UCGCUCGCGCGCAGAACGCGGCGGUCAGCUGCGCCCGGCCUGAAGUUGUCCCAACCGCGGCCGCGUCGGUCGCCCUUUUGACUUGCAGCAGGGCGGGCAGAGCGACUUAGAGGAAAAGUGACUUUUUGUACCCUCCUGCAGGGAGCAGGUUCUCUGUCCUUGUUUAAUUAGACAUUUCUCAGAGAAUCCUGCCUCUGCUCUGAAGCCUUUCUGUUCGCUCCAGUGAAAAUUAGUCAUCCACCGGGCGCGGUGGCUCACGCCUGCAAUCCCAGCACUUUGGGAGGCCGAGGUCUGGGCUUGAUGUUCACCGAUUUUCCCUCAGCUCCGACUGUGGCUCCUCUCAGCUGACUCUGACCCUGCUCUCAGCCGGGCUGCAUCUGCCCAUCUCAGCACAUCAAUAAACAGCAGAGGGAAACUACCACCUUGGAAGGAGCCAGGCAGUUUCUGCUGGGUAGGCCGCAGCCUGGAACAUGGAAGUAGCUUCUUCCAUCCUACACUGGAAACCACCCAGCAUCCCGGGCCCUCCAGAGAAGAGCCAGACUCCCUUCCCUGGGAAGAGACUAUAGUCCUAUCUGUAUCCUCCGUGGUCAUUGCCCCUCAGUCACAGCAAUGAAGAGCAAAUUACCUGUUUUCUGUAUGUUCCUCUGACAACAACUGCCACAGAGUAAAUAUGAAAGGUUCU
rnacentral:lncRNA from 1 species